rnacentral:rRNA from 1 species
GUCGAACGAGAAAGCGGGCUUCGGCCCGUUCGGUACAGUGGCAGACGGGUGAGUAACACGUGGGUAACCUGCCCGGAGGUGGGGGACAACUCUCCGAAAGGAGGGCUAAUACCGCAUGACAUCCGUGGAGCGGCGGCUCCGCGGAUCAAAGCUAGCCUCUACCUGUAAGCUAGCGCCACCGGAGGGGCCCGCGGCCCAUUAGCUAGUUGGCGAGGUAACGGCUCACCAAGGCGACGAUGGGUAGCCGGCCUGAGAGGGCGAUCGGCCACACUGGAACUGAGACACGGUCCAGACUCCUACGGGAGGCAGCAGUGAGGAAUUUUGCGCAAUGGGGGAAACCCUGACGCAGCGACGCCGCGUGGAGGACGAAGGCCUUCGGGUCGUAAACUCCUGUCAAGUGGGACGAAUGCCGUCGGGAUGAAUGAGCCCGGUGGUGGACGGUACCGCUGAAGGAAGCCCCGGCUAACUCCGUGCCAGCAGCCGCGGUAAUACGGGGGGGGCCAGCGUUGUUCGGAAUUAUUGGGCGUAAAGGGCGCGGAGGCGGCCUGGUAAGUCGGGCGUGAGAUCCCGCGGCUCAACCGCGGAAUUGCACUCGAAACUGCUGGGCUCGAGUCCCGGAGAGGGUAGCGGAAUUCCCAGUGUAGCGGUGAAAUGCGUAGAUAUUGGGAGGAACACCAGUGGCGAAGGCGGCUA